UAGCUCAGUAGGUAGAGCACAUCCUUGGUAAGGAUGAGGUCUCCGGUUCAAAUCCGGA
rnacentral:tRNA from 1 species